AUCCUUCUGGUUCAGCCAAAUGAUGACUGGUUUAAUCACGUUUGUACGUGAUAUGUGCUGCCGUCUUGUUACGCUCGCACAAAAACCAUCUGAUC